UCCUGAUCUCCGGGUACUGCCUAUUGUUCAUCGUGGGUGCGCCGGGUGUGGUAUUCGUCGAAUUUCGACAUUCUAGUCUGUUGCUACCGGUCAAAGUCGGUUUAUUGGCUCUCGGUAUGUAGUAGGAACGAUCCCGUGGAUCCCACAGGAACAUGUAGUAGAGCGAGAGAAUUAUCGCCGCAAGGCUCACCGAUAUCACGUAUGUGAGGUACAGAAACAGCGGAGCAAAGACGCACGCAACACUUCGAGGCACACCCACCACCUUCGUUUUCAUCUGGAAGCUCAUCGAAAAGCUUUUACCCUACUGCGCAAGUCUACCCUCGCCGCGCGAUCAACUUGGAUGAAGUAUAUAGAACCAGAUGUACCUAUGUAGAUAUA
rnacentral:misc_RNA from 1 species